AAAUAAAUAGAAAGGAAGAUUAAGAUACUUGUGUUGUGACCUAAAUAUGCAGCUUACACAAAAAAAUAAACCUAAAAAUGCUUCUUCAGUGAAAGCAAACACGACUUAUUCAGAAACGCUUCUUCGGAGAAGUACUUUUCCUCACGCGCAUUGGCUCAAGCUUUCUCGGUUUCUCUUGUGCGACACUCUCUCAAACUCAUGCUCUCUCCCUCUCAAUUCUUACACAACAACAACAAUUACGACACAUAUUCUCUUGGUCUCGAAUUGGUGAGAUUUGGAUUUCAAAACUUAUUCGAAUUGUUAUGGAAUCAGGAUUCGGUUCGCGUUGGUGUUCAGAAUCUGUUUGCGCUAGAAUUUCCAACUCAGAACAAUUUGAGUUAAAGUUAGCAAGCAUACGAUAUCAUAAAGCUGAGAAUGGAGGAAUGCUUACUGGUUGAAGCGACAAGGAGAAGAAAAUGCAGCUUUCGAUCUUGCUCACAAGCCAACCAUGCUCCUCCUCCAGCUAAUGUUCAAAGCGGCAGAGCGGCGGUGGAUGUAUGCUUAGUGGUAUGGCUUUUGGCGGUGGAAGUGCAGAGGUCAAGGAUGAAGCAGACAGCAGCCCUGGGUUGCAUGCUGCAGCUGGACCCGGUCUUGCAGAAAAAUUCUCCAAGUUUUAUUUGAGGAAAAUGAAAAGUUGUCAAAGUAUGGUGAUACGAAAGCGGCUCAAAACAUAAUGUUCUUAGAGAUUAAGAAACUGAUAGAAUCGACUGACCAACCGAGCUAUCUGCUUGGGACAUGGCUGUUAUGCAAUAAUGAAAACUUCUGAAGAAGAAUUUUAUCGACAUAUAUUGAUGUUCUUGUUUAUUUUGGAACAGGCUGAUCUUGAAACUAACGAAGUCUAUGCACAUAUGACUCUUCAACCUGUAACCAAAGUAGGUUUAGUUGUUCAACUUGAUAUUUUGUUAUUGCAUCCAUGAUUUAGUUCUAUAGUUUUCUUUGACAUCCUCUCAAGCCAAUGAUGAGUAACUGUACCAAAGAUUGUCUCAUUUUCCUCUUCUGCGGUAUGACAAGGAGGCAAUACUGGCAUCAUACUUUGGAUUUUUCAAUGCAACCUCCCGCUCAGGAGCUAGUUGAUAAUGAUUUGCAUGACAAUUCGUGGGCAUUUAGACAUAUUUAUCGGGGACAACCAAAGAGACAUUUAUUAACUACUGGUUGGAGUGUAUUUAUCAGCACAAAAAGACUUUUCGUUGGAUAUUCCGUUCUUUUUAUUAGAGAUGAGAAACAGCAAUUUCUUUUAGGUUUGAGGCGCGAAUAGACAGCAGCCCGCGCUUUCUUCAUCAAUGAUAUCCAGCGACAGUAUGCAUAUUAGCAUUUUAGCUGCUGCAGGUCAUGCUGCUGCAAAUAACAGUCCUUUUACUAUUUAUUACAAUCCAAGGGCCAGCUCCUCUGAAUUUGUUAUUCCGUUGGCUAAGUAUAACAAAGCCAUGUACGCCCAAGUUUCUCUUGGAAUGAGAUUUAGAAUGAUGUUUGAAACAGAUUAUGGAGUACGAAGAUAUUGGGCACAGUUACUGGAAUUAUUGACUUGGAUCCUGUCCCAUGGAAAAAUUCACGAUGGCGCAAUCUUUAGCGGGUGAGAGCCCAAGCAGAGUCCAUGCUUUAAAUGCAUCGUUAUAAAGACAAGAACAAGAUUUGUUGGGUCUUCUUCUCAUCCACCACAAAUGAAGAUGGCGUCGAUGAAUCAGAUGAAGAAGACCUUAGUAGUGAAUUUUGAUUUCUAAUUUUUUUCUUUUUGACUUGGUUGUAAUUUGGAUUGUCUUUUUAAAUUAGUUGACAAAUGAUUAGUAAAAAUUUGGUUUUUUUAGUCAUUUUAAU